AUUGCCCUAGUAACGGCGAGUGAACAGGCAAGAGCUCAGAUUUGAAAGGCACUUUUGUGCCGUUGUAUUCUGAAGUUAGGGUCCUGAGAAACGAUGCUUAAGUCUUCUGGAAAGGAGCGCCAUGGAGGGUGAUAGCCCCGUCUAGCAUUGACCUCAUAUAGGAUCUUAACAUGGAGUCGAGUUGUUUGGGAAUGCAGCUCAAAUGGGUGGUAUGCUCCAUCUAAAGCUAAAUAUCUGCGAGAGACCGAUAGUAAACAAGUACUGUGAGGGAAAGAUGAAAAGAACUUUGAAAAGAGAGUGAAAAAGUACGUGAAAUUGUUGAAAUGGAAGGGUAGGCCGCUAACCAUGUAGAGCCGUGUUUGGGGGGAAGAUAAAUGCUGUAGAAUGUAGCUCCUCGGAGUAUUAUAGAUGCAGUUCAUAUUCCCACCCGAGCGCGAGGAUCUCAGGUUCUACUAAAUGGUGGUCUACCACCCGUCUUGAAACAC
rnacentral:rRNA from 1 species